UCCGGCGAACCUCAUGAACAUCCUCCAGCUAGAUUUGGGAACCUCCUGCCCGAAUUCAAAGUAGAUCCUGUUCGUGGUGAGAACACAGGCUGAGA